rnacentral:rRNA from 1 species
UACGUAGGGCGCGAGCGUUGUCCGGAAUUAUUGGGCGUAAAGAGCUCGUAGGUGGCUUGUUGCGUCUGCCGUGAAAGCCCGUGGCUUAACUACGGGUCUGCGGUGGAUACGGGCAGGCUAGAGGCUGGUAGGGGCAAGCGGAAUUCCUGGUGUAGCGGUGAAAUGCGCAGAUAUCAGGAGGAACACCGGUGGCGAAGGCGGGUCUCUGGGCCGUAACUGACGCUGAGGAGCGAAAGCGUGGGGAGCGAACAGG